rnacentral:rRNA from 1 species
CAGUAGCCGCGGUAAUACGUAGGUCCCGAGCGUUGUCCGGAUUUAUUGGGCGUAAAGCGAGCGCAGGCGGUUAGAAAAGUCUGAAGUGAAAGGCAGUGGCUCAACCAUUGUAGGCUUUGGAAACUGUUUAACUUGCGUGCAGAAGGGGAGAGUGGAAUUCCAUGUGUAGCGGUGAAAUGCGUAGAUAUAUGGAGGAACACCGGUGGCGAAAGCGGCUCUCUGGUCUGUAACUGACGCUGAGGCUCGAAAGCGUGGGGAGCGAACAGGAUUAGAUACCCCAGUAGUCCCUGUCUCUUAUACA